rnacentral:rRNA from 1 species
UACAGAGGGUGCAAGCGUUAAUCGGAAUUACUGGGCGUAAAGCGUGCGUAGACGGUUGCGUAAGUCAGAUGUGAAAGCCCCGGGCUCAACCUGGGAAUUGCAUUUGAGACUGCGCAGCUAGGGUGCGGAAGAGGGAAGCGGAAUUUCCGGUGUAGCGGUGAAAUGCGUAGAUAUCGGAAGGAACACCAGUGGCGAAGGCGGCUUCCUGGUCCAGCACCGACGUUCAGGCACGAAAGCGUGGGGAGCAAACAGG